rnacentral:rRNA from 1 species
CGGGUGAGUAAUACAUCGGAACAUGUCCUGUAGUGGGGGAUAGCCCGGCGAAAGCCGGAUUAAUACCGCAUACGAUCUACGGAUGAAAGCGGGGGACCUUCGGGCCUCGCGCUAUAGGGUUGGCCGAUGGCUGAUUAGCUAGUUGGUGGGGUAAAGGCCUACCAAGGCCACGAUCAGUAGCUGGUCUGAGAGGACGACCAGCCACACUGGGACUGAGACACGGCCCACACUCCUACGGGAGGCAGCAGUGGGGAAUUUUGGACAAUGGGCGAAAGCCUGAUCCAGCAAUGCCGCGUGUGUGAAGAAGGCCUUCGGGUUGUAAAGCACUUUUGUCCGGAAAGAAAUCCUUGGCUCUAAUACAGUCGGGGGAUGACGGUACCGGAAGAAUAGGGACCGGCUAACUACGUGCCAGCAGCCGCGGUAAUACGUAGGGUGCGAGCGUUAAUCGGAAUUACUGGGCGUAAAGCGUGCGCAGGCGGUUUGCUAAGACCGAUGUGAAAUCCCCGGGCUCAACCUGGGAACUGCAUUGGUGACUGGCAGGCUAGAGUAUGGCAGAGGGGGGUAGAAUUCCACGUG